AGGACAGAGAGAAUGCUGGAGUCCUCUUUGUCUCUCUCUCCACCCCACCUGCAUGAUGUGAAGAUAAAGUGAGAAAACGGCAUUCUGAAAUCCAGGAAGAGUGUCUCAAUAGAUACUCAAUCUGCUGGCGCCUUGAUCUUGGAUUUCCAGCCUCCAGAACUGUAGGAGAUGCACUUUCAAGGUGAAUUUUUCUAGGACCCUGGGGGACAUAGCAGGAAACAAGACAGACAAGAUUUCACAUUGCACGAGUUUGGAUGAGGAAAACAAUAUCUAAUGGAAAGACUCAUUAUCCCGAGAUCUGCUGAGUUCAUCUUGAAACUUGCCUUAUUUUAGCACAGUAUUGGUUAACCAGUAAAGGAUGGCGUUCUUACCUCCA